rnacentral:rRNA from 1 species
UACGGAGGUGGCGAAUGUUGCUCGGAAUUACUGGGCGUAAAGGGCGCGCAGGCGGAUGAUCAAGUCAAGAGUGAAAUCUCCAUGCUUAACGUGGAGCUUGCUUUUGAAACUGGUCGUCUGGAGUCAUGUAGGGGAUGACGGAACACCUGGAGUAGCGGUGAAAUGCGUAGAUAUCAGGUGGAACACCGAUGGCGAAGGCUGUCAUCUGGACAAGGACUGACGCUGAGGCGCGAAAGCCGGGGGAGCAAACAGGAUUAGAUACCCUGGUAGUCCCGGCCCUAAACGAUGAGUGCUAGGUGUAUGCGCGCGAGCGUAUGUGCCGCAGUUAACGCAUUAAGCACUCCGCCUGGGGAGUACGGUCGCAAGGCUGAA